ensembl:lncRNA
CAGACCAGUCGGCUGCUAUUUGGCCGACUGCUAAAGUAGAUUGGAAGAAGAGGCUGUAGAAGAACUGUGCAGGGAGAGCAAGGCAUCACAGCUCAGUCACGCUCACAGUGUGUGUCACAAGACCCAUGGGUCUGAAGAAACAGCCGCACACAGCCAAAAACCAAAAUGUCGCAGGCUGCUGGGCAAAGAAAGGUCGACCUACAGCGGACGACAGGGAGAGAGCAUUGUUGGCAGCCACCUCCAAACAGCCUUGCUGAUCAUCAGUAAAUGAGAGGGAUGAAAGUAAACAGCAAAUAAAGAAAUAUAUAACAAGAUUAGAGAACCAUCACAGAAGAAAGGAAGACACUUAAUAUUCUAGGACCUUAAAUGGCAAUUUUUUCUUGAUUUUUGAACAAGGGGUCCUGUAUUUUCAUUUUACACUGGGCCUCACAAAUUAUGUAGCCAAACUGGAGCCUAGAAGACUUCCUAUGUCUCCCUGGCCACAGUGGUCAUUGGCAAGAAAAAUGGGUUUACUAUGAUCAGUGAGAGAAUGAAGACAAUGGCUAUGAGGAAAAGGAUUCUGACAGGAAGGAGGAAAGGGAAUGAAUGACUGUUGGAUGGUGCAAUGGAUUGAAGGCAUCCCCCCUCCUAGCUCAUAUGUUGAAACAGCCCUAAUCCCAACAUGAGAGGUGAAGUACUUGGGAGGUAAUUAGCCUGCGAAGGUGGAGCCCUCAUAGAUGGGAUUAGUGCCCUUCUCAG